rnacentral:tRNA from 1 species
CAUAUUAGAGUUUGUUUUGAAUUUUUCCGUUACAUUGAAGGGGUCUCAUUUAUAUGGGUAAUAUGAAAU